rnacentral:lncRNA from 1 species
CUUGAUGAAGAUCGAAAGAACCAUUUGCAGACCAAAUGCUGCAGCCAUUACAACCGUGAUAUCAUUGUUCGUCUCGAGGUAGGACCGUAGAUUCAGGGCAACAAAGCACGAUGAUGCACUACCAGCUAAGAGUAUAAUCACCCAUCUCAGAAACUCUACUGGAAUAAGCAACGGAAGCUGCAAAAACACAUCCUGAGUGUUAGAAUGCUUAAGCAGCAUGAAGUACAAAGUUGUGAUACCAUUUUAGGUUGAUUUUCUGUAUUGUGAAUGGUCAUUGAAUGUUAAGUUACCAAACCAUUGUGUAUUAAGUAUAUGCAUUUGUGUUUAGUGUUACAGAUCAUCAAUUGAUUAAUUUUAACAGCGAAAGAGACCUAAGUUACUGAAGAUACUUACAGAGGUUGGAACGAAAAUGAAGAGAGAGUAUCCCCAGAGGCACCAGAAUCUUAGAAGAUCAGCUUUGGACCCCAUAUAACGGAGUGAGAAAUAAAAUCCCAGAGGCACAAUUAUUGCAUAUCCAUAGAUUAUAGAUGCUGCCAAAUUCAUAUAGUUCACAUCAAAGAUCCAAGGAGCAUUACUGUCGGUUCGUUUCUUCACGAGAUACGUGGCACAAUUUCCGAGAGAAGCAAGCACAAACACAAGCGUAGUGCAGAUCCAGACAAGUCCAUACCUAACAGAGCGAAGAGAUGCACACACGAGUCAUUAAUCUAGAAAAUUUUGUGAAAGGCCCAGCUUUUAGCCAAUCUUUAGAGGAUAAAAUGUUUUGAUGUUUUCUAUUCAUUUGUCCAAGAGAAAAUGAGGAUAUUUUAAUCUAUCGCCUGACGUAACAAAGCAUUAAAUGCAUCCUAUUAGCUUAUAAAGCAAUAAUCCACUAAACCAAUGACAACAUCAACACACAAAGUGGGUAAAGUUUUAGUCUUUACUCAACGAGGCCUGUCUUUAAUUGCCUUGAAGCCUGAUCGGACAAAUCCUAUUGUCAGAUCUUAUGUUUCCUAAGCAAAAAGAUUACACCACAUCAACCUUACGAUAGUCUAAUGGAAACUAUGUUACAGACUAUGAAAAUAGCUAGAAGCCUGAACCUAACGUGAGGAAAUGUUUUAACAAGCGAUAGUUAGCUGAGAGCCUUAAUUAAGUCUAAAGUAAAUCAGUUUCAGAGAAACACUCACGCAGCAAAACUAUAGUAACAAAAAACAUUAAACAAGCGAAAAGAAAAAGGGUAAAGCAGGAAACCUACGGUUUUAUCAAUAACUCAAAUUACUUAAUAUUUGAUGAAACUACGGUUAUAAUCAUCAAAUACGAUAGCUCUAUUGGCAAUCUCUACUCUAGUAGAGCUAUUUAGCUAACACCUGGCAACUGGAAAGCAUUCCCCAAACCUAUGACAUAUUAAAUUCAUUCCUUUGACCUGACACAACAGGAAUGUGCUUCCAGAAAGGUGCAGAAGAUGACACAUAAAAUGGUAACAAAUUAACAGACUGACUUAAAAUGGUAAGAACUCUCGCAGAGCAAGUGCAAUCACCGAGAAGACUGAAGGGCAAAAAGGCAUUAAAAGACUUACAAAUCAGGGUUUGCAUCAAUCUUGUUGAAAAAAUCCCCACU